rnacentral:rRNA from 1 species
AUGAACGCUAGCGACAGGCUUAACACAUGCAAGUCGAGGGGCAGCGGUGGAGAGAGCUUGCUCUCUUCAGCCGGCGACCGGCGCACGGGUGAGUAACACGUAUGCAACCUGCCCUUGACACUGGGAUAACCCGGAGAAAUCCGGACUAAUACCGGGCGACACCUUCGGAGGGCAUCCUCCUUAGGUCGAAGGAAGCGAUUCCGGUCAAGGAUGGGCAUGCGGCGCAUUAGCUAGUUGGCGGGGUAACGGCCCACCAAGGCGACGAUGCGUAGGGGUUCUGAGAGGAAGGUCCCCCACAUUGGUACUGAGACACGGACCAAACUCCUACGGGAGGCAGCAGUGAGGAAUAUUGGUCAAUGGGCGCGAGCCUGAACCAGCCAAGUCGCGUGAGGGAAGACGGCCCUACGGGUUGUAAACCUCUUUUGUCGGGGAGCAAGGACUGCCACGAGUGGCAGGGCGAGAGUACCCGAAGAAAAAGCAUCGGCUAACUCCGUGCCAGCAGCCGCGGUAAUACGGAGGAUGCGAGCGUUAUCCGGAUUUAUUGGGUUUAAAGGGUGCGUAGGCGGAAGUUCAAGUCAGCGGUAAAAUCGAGGGGCUCAACCCCUUUAAGCCGUUGAAACUGGGUUUCUUGAGUGGGCGAGAAGUGUGCGGAAUGUGUGGUGUAGCGGUGAAAUGCAUAGAUAUCACACAGAACUCCGAUUGCGAAGGCAGCACACCGGCGCCCAACUGACGCUGAGGCACGAAAGCGUGGGGAUCAAACAGGAUUAGAUACCCUGGUAGUCCACGCCGUAAACGAUGAGUGCUAAGUGUUAGGGGGUUUCCGCCCCUUAGUGCGGAGUUAACGCAAUAAGCAAUCCACCUGGGGAGUACGGCCGCAAGGUUGAAACUCAAAGGAAUUGACGGGGGCCCGCACAAGCGGAGGAACAUGUGGUUUAAUUCGAUGAUACGCGAGGAACCUUACCCGGGCUCAAACGGCAGAGGAAAGUUUUUGAAAGGAGGCUGCUCUACGGAGUCUCUGCCGAGGUGCUGCAUGGUUGUCGUCAGCUCGUGCCGUGAGGUGUCGGCUUAAGUGCCAUAACGAGCGCAACCCCUACCGCCAGUUGCAAUCAGGUAAAGCUGGGGACUCUGGCGGGACUGCCGGCGCAAGCUGUGAGGAAGGCGGGGAUGACGUCAAAUCAGCACGGCCCUUACGUCCGGGGCGACACACGUGUUACAAUGGCAGGUACAGCGGGAAGCCACCGAGCGAUCGGGAGCAGAACCCGAAAACCUGUCUCAGUUCGGAUUGGAGUCUGCAACUCGACUCCAUGAAGCUGGAUUCGCUAGUAAUCGCGCAUCAGCCAUGGCGCGGUGAAUACGUUCCCGGGCCUUGUACACACCGCCCGUCAAGCCAUGGAAGCCGGGGGUGCCUGAAGUGCGCGACCGCAAGGAGCGCCCUAAGGUAAAACCGGUGACUGGGGCU